rnacentral:rRNA from 1 species
GGAUGGGAGUCUGCAACUUGAAUUCGGAAAGGUGAAAUCUCUAGUAUUCGAAUAUCACGGAUGAUCCGGUGAAUACGUUCCCGGGCCCCGCCCACCCCGCCCGGCAAGCCAUUUAAGCCGGGAGUGCCUAAAGUCGGUGAAAGCAAGGAGAUUCCCAGGGCAAAACUGGUAACUAGGGCUAAGUCGUAACAAGGUAACCAAGGGCGAA